rnacentral:lncRNA from 10 species
CUGGAAAAAAAGAAUGAAUGACUAUAAUUUUGGCAAUUGCAGACCUAUUCAGUGUCAUUUGAUUGAAUGAUUGAUCAGGUGGUAGAAGAGGCUUGAGCAGGCCGACUUGCCCUUCAGGAAUACUGCCUGGCCUUCAGAUUCAACCUUAUUGCUUGACACUACUUGGCCUGCUCAGUGGCGCUAUCUCGGCUCACCACAACAUCUGCCUCCUGGGUUCAAGCGAUUCUCCUGCCUCAGCCUCCUGAGUAUCUGGGAUUACAGGAACCGGGCAAAUCUAACUCAGUCUUCCUUUGAUCCACACUGGAUGAGUGAACUGCAUAGAUGGGGUUUUGCUAUGCUGCCCAUGGCUGGUCUUGAACCCGUGAGCUCAAGUGAUCCAUCAUGUGCACCACUGCCCCAGGUGACUUUUUACAUAAAGUAUAAGAAAACAGAUUCCUCCUCUCAAUGCCUACAGGAAUCCCCUCUGAUCUUCUAACUGGUAAAGUACUAAGUUAAAAAAACCUCUUAGCCCUCUGUCUCUCCAAGUUGGGUAGUAUUAAAUAUAUGAAUCCAUUUUUAGCCUGGGCAGCAUGGUGAGACUCUGUCUCCAUACACACACACAC